ensembl:lncRNA
GUUUUAAUAUAACUUAUUGCAAAGCAUCUCGUGACCGCAAUUAAUCGCAAUGUGUUGUUUUGGCCAUACCAUAUUAUAUAAAACAUUACAGUGUUAAACAUUACUUGGUAGAUAUUAAGGUUACACACCAAGGAAUUGGGCCAUCGAUUUUUAAAGUUUAUUGUCUAUAAAAUACCUCGGUGACAGCAAAGAUCUCACAGAUAUCCGCUACCUGAUCCAGAGAGAGAGAGAGAGAGAGAGAGAGAGAGAGCUGCAUCCUCUGUCAUCUUUGAUCGGCUUGUCUCUGAUUGGCCCGUAGCCUGCUGCUUCUUGACGUCACUGCGGGAAAGAAGCGACCGUGCAGGCUUUUAGACCCGAAAACUAGAGACUCCUGAGCCAGAGAGAGAGCAUCGCACCACACGCACGGAAGAGUCCGCUCCAGCUUGAAGCUUACAUCUGACUGUGAAAGGUCAGACAAAGCCACGUGCAUCUUAAAUAAAUCACAAACCCCAGGCUGUUUCAUGGGAGGAAAUCCCCCAUGUUGGAAAUAAACUGCCCAUGUUCCUGCUCACUGGAUCUUAAAGAAACGCCAUCCCAGGCUUCGCGGACUUACAGAGGAAAACCCGCCAUGGCUGGUGCCAUUGACGAUCACGAUUUCUUUUAUUUUUGGCAGUGAAGAUUUCAGAAGUACAACACACAGUGCUGGUAACGCAUCUUGCGCAGCAGUAUCGUGCUUGACAGACACAGAGAAGACCACUUAGAUGUGCACAACACUCGGGCACUUAACACUUUGCAUCCUGAGCACGACAGAAAGGAAUACGCACGGCAUCAUAAAAAAAAGUCUGCUCUUACGAGAUGCUCCUCGUUACUUGUGUCGUGUGUGAUGGGGUCGGUUGCUAUCUUUGGUUAUCUAGCUGUAUGAGUGUUUCUCCUCCGUCAUAAAGCUAGAUAACCGAAAGUAGGAGCGGUCUCCUGUACUGCGCACUGCUCCGGCACUACAGCAUGAGCAGGAAAAAUACUGACCACUGCGUGGAGAUCUAUAAUAGGGAAGCUCCUUCCUGACCGCAGUGUUUGCUUGAGAGACCGGACUACCAUGCGCUAGAACACCAUGUGCCUCCUCCCUCCAUCAACGGAAGCAUUCGGUGCCAUGUGUGCCCCCCGGAGCAGAGGGCGGGAGAAGAGAAAAAUGAUGUGCAAGAGGCUACAGUUCGUGUGCCAGUGGAGACAAAGAGGCUGCCAGUCGCCACGAUCCCCACAGAUGCUGAAGAUUGGAGCUCUGAAUGAGGGGCUGUGCUUUGAGGAAGCCAUCUUGAUGGAAAUGCUGGCUGCCUGCUUCCUAAAAUGGCUGUGUUGGCAUGAGGGACUAUGUUGAGGACAAGAUUGAACCGAAUGGAGAGUAUAUCCUAUUCCAAAGUCCCUGGCCAUUCUCAUAUAGAUCACCUACUCUGGUCCCUGAUAUAUAAUGACUGCUUCUGGCUAUCUCAUAGCGGACAAUCAAAACAAGUAAAGCAUAUGAUAUUAGAAAACUCAUAUAUAACCUGUUUUGCUUCUUGAAUAAACAUGACAAUCUGUAUAAAACUGAACAAUGUGUAUUUUCUAAACUGCAAAGGGCAUAUGCUAAGUAUUUAUUGUGCAGGCUGUGCAGAAUGCUGGAUAAUGAAAAUGUGCCUUACUGUGUGAACUGUUUACAGUAAAACCGUAGUUUGCUAUUAAUGACAUUCAAUAGACAACUGUAUAGUUAAUGAACAUGGGAGUCAUUUCUGUUGCCCCUGUUUUAAUUGUGCCUUCAGUGUUUCAUUGUCUCUGUGAAUAAAUUAAAUGUAUUCCGUUCCCUGAUGAAAAUGAAAUCUAUUAAAACCUGUCUUUCAGUUUUACUUGAAAUUUCAGUUGAACAAGAAGGCAUUCUUUGAUUUUUUUAUUUCUUUAAUUUUUUUGCAUUAAGCUCAGCAUUUCAAUCUCUAAUUUUACUGUGCUUAAUAUAGCAGAAAUUAGAGCUAUAACAGUUUCAGUGGCUCUAUUGUUUAACAGUAUAUGUUUUCUUUACUCAGUGUUAGAUAAAUAAGAUUCAAUAAACAUGUGAACUAUAAAACUGAUAUUUAUGAGUUGGAUUGUUAUUCCCAAAGCUAGUAGGUUAAAUAUUUUUGGUAAAUAAUAUGCCAUAGUUGUAGAUCGGCACCCUGGACAUCCACAAUGCAUAGCACACCAGGUACUUUACACCAAAUUUCUCAUUCAAACAGUAGUCUUCUGCUUAAAACACCUGCAUCAUUAAAAUCAUGAUUCAAUCAACAAUUAAAUAAUUAAUGGCAGUACCAUGGCAAUGAUGAUCUUUAAAUGUGUACUAGGUAAUGAGUCCUUCAUGUGGGACCACAGCAGGUCCUGCUUUUAAAUCCACAUAUUAUGUAUAUGAAUUAACUACCACUGAAGUACAUCAGCAAAAAUAAAUACAAAAAAUACAAAUAUAUCAGCUCUAAAGUAAUACGUUUAAUGAUUUGUUUUAUUGUGCUCAAACGAAACUGAAUAACAAUUUUAAUUUUUUUUAAAAUCAUGAAAACAGGUAGUAUAUUUAAGCAGCCACAUUAUCUCAGUAGUUUUAAUGCACUUCUCAGCAUAUUAUGAAUACAUUUUGCAGCCUUUUGAGAAAAAUAUAAUGAUAUGUCAUCAUCGUAAAACAAGAAAAUAUCACACUGACGCAAAUCUAAGCAAAUAGUAUACUCUCUUACAGUUACGGUUUUAUAAAACAUUGAAAUUAUAUGCAUAUUCAUACAAUUAGUAAAAUUACUUAGGUAUAUUACAAUUCUAUGUAUAUAUUAUAAAUUGGAGUAAUUAGCCUAAAAUAGAUUUAAUAAAUGAAGCAGUUCUUGUUGUCACGGGAUAUCUUCUGGUUGAUUAAAGAGAGUUACAGCACACUGCAAUCAGGCUUGCUUUAUAGAUCCUGCAAGUAAAAUAGAUACAAAUAAUGGAAGAAAAAAAAAAUUUCAAAUUGAAAUGCAAAUUUGAAAUCUCCCAGUGGCUAUUGGAGCUAAAAUAUAAGACAUUAUCUGAAGCACUAGUGGCAAAUUGCCAUAGAAGCAGUAUAAAACCAAACAAAAUGUUGCAUUAUUUACAGAUAUACAUAUUUUUCUUCUGAAUUAUUAUAAAUAAUAACAUGGACCUACAUUUGCAAGUUAAUAGCCCAUAAAAACUGAUAAAGAUAAAGCAUUAACAGUGGUGCAUUUCCAAGGAAAAAGAGUUGCUUUUGACCUUGAGUGUCUGAGAUGUGAUUUUUGUCCUAUUAACAAUAUGUUUUUAACAUAAAAAAAUGUGGUUUAUACAUGUAUUUAUAGAUAGGUCAGUAUAAAAUGUUAAUCUUUUAUAGUGUAUAUUUGAAAAAAAAAUAUUAGUCUAUUUUUAUAAACAUUUCUAAAAUGCAUACAGGUUGUCAAUGCAGCUGUUUAUUUAUUUAUUUAUUUAUUUAUUUAUUUAUUACAGGAGUUUAACUUACAUUAAUGUAUAACUACUUAUUGUUUUAUGUUAGCUCUAUGUUAUCUGGUUACUUUUGUGUAACCUUUUGACCAUAAAAUUGCAGAAUCUGCUCACUUGGUAAGCCUUGCUCUUUUAUAAAUGCAAAUAAAUAAAUAAAUAAAUAAAUAAAUAAAUGGACAGAAAACCACAAAUAAUUUAAGUUCAAUGUCAAUGUAAUUUUUUGUUCAAUCGGAGCUCUGUUUGAUCUAUGCGAGUGAUGAUGGUUGCUAUGGUCACCUGGGCACCAGACCACGCCCCCUGACAACGACGACAUACUCCAUAUUAAUAAAAUUAAUACUUAUAUUGUCCUAAAUUGGUUGUCCACAUAGAUAGCAGAUAUAUUUUUUUAAAUAUUCAUAAUAAAAAGAAUACGCAUCAGCAUAAUAAUAAGCAAAAAUUUACUUGAUUCUGACCACCAGGACACAAGAAUCAAAGUGCUUAAAAUAUCCAUUUUUUCCCCCAGAAGGACCUAUAGAUCCCAAUUUAGGUUUGUAACAUCUACCAUUUUUAAGGUCACACGUUAACCAAAUCUCAAGUGGAUUCGAUUAAAUAAAGAGGCUACACCCAAUAGGCCUAAAUACAAUGCUCAAAUGCAGAUAAUUAUUCUAAUUGUGCUGUAAAAUAUCUGAAAUCUGCAUUGCUUUUGUGAGCAAAACUAAUACGAUAUGGAUUUAUAUUAAUUGGAAUAAGAUGCUGUCAGAUGAAACUGUCGGUGUGUGAGUUUGGUUUUGAUCGCCAGUCUCUGGAGGGUCGGCCAGGGUCAGAGGUGAUGAUCAGGGUUCAAGUGGGUUGUCCGGCUAUUCCCUAAUGGCUAAUCUGACAAGCUACGUUAACAGGAAAUGAUACGAUUUUCCUCAAAUUGUCAUAUCAGUUCAUGUUAAAAAUCGACACGUGCAAUAAUCAAGGUUCACGUCUGUUUCCGAGUUUAAGACAUAAUCUUCAUAUAGGCUAUAAUGGGCCUUUAGAGAUAAAUCCAUCCGUCCAUCCAUCCAAGGGCGACCCGUAUAGCUUUAUUUAAUUUCAACCUGUCACGUUUUGCACAGUAGCCUACAUUUCAUAUUGUCCUAACUCUAUUUAUUUCGAAACAAAAUGCUGUAUUUAUAUAUUAGAGCCUAUAGCUAAAGAUUUUAAAUGAAAAGCAUACGCCUGUGUGUGAGUGUUAUUUUGUGCAGUGGAUUAUAUAUGAGAACUGCUCUGCGUGUGGCACUCGACCAUCAUUUGUAUUCAUUUUUAUAUUCUGGUCAGAUUUUCUGCUUGUCAGAAGAGAGAUAAAUAGGCAUAGCUUCUAUUGUACUAAAAAAGCAUUCAGGGUCCAUUUAUUAAAAACAGCACACAGAAGUUAAUCGUCUAGGAAGAAGAACUAAACAUUAGUCUAUUAUGUUUCGUGUUAUGAUGAGGUUCUGAUUGUCAAAGAUGACUAAAUGAACAAAAGACAAAACAGCUAGUUCAUGUACCAGAUUAAAACACUAGAAUGCCGCACCUCAUCUCUGAUUCACCAAGACACGCCUUCAGAUGUUUUUUUUUUUUUUUUUUUUUUUUUUUAAUUUUAUUUCUUUAUUUAUUUUUUAUAAAGUUUGGUUAAAAUUUCCCAGUGUUGGGUUUCAGAAGUAAACUAAAAUAAUAAUCUUGUAAUAGGCUAUUGCCUAUAGUGAUGCUUAAAUGUAUGACAUUCAUGGAGGUAGGCCUACACCAGAGGUUGUGUGUAGCAACCUUUAUUUGUGGCUAUAGUGACUGCAACCUGUCAGAAAAUUAAGAAAUAAAAGAAUUGGCACCGCUAGCCUGUUGGUAAUAAAUAGCCGUUAAAUCUCAGAGUGAAUGCGAUUCAGGGCGUAAAUUAGCAACAGAGCUGCUCGUCUAGUCUUGGAGAACCAAGGCAUCAUUGUACCAUCAUUUAUAUCUUCCAAAUCAGUAAGCAUUAGAGGUUGUGCUAUAUGUUAGCAUAAGAAUAGAAACGGGUCCUGUGAACUUCCGCGACCUCCUGACUCUCUUUUUCCCUACGAUGAAUAGCACCACUUUGAGACUCCCCAGCCUCUCUCCAGAAAGCUUGAACCAUGCCUAAAUUCUUAAUUAUGGUAAUUUAAUAUAUCUUAAGCCCCCGACCGCCUUUAUUCUCGUCCAUCCAGAGUUUGUUUUAGGCAUUCAUGCCACCUUAGAACAUCAUUAAAGCCUCUUAUUUGGCACAAACUAAUAAACCGUGCUUCCAUAUUGCUAUAAAAAAAAUGGAAAAAUUGAAAUAUGAAAUAUGAUUAUAGGCCUUAAAUAUAAUAAAUUAGGUUUUAAAAUUUAAAACAAACAAAACAAAACAUUUUUGCGAAUACAUUAUAAAACCUAUAGAGAUCAUCGUCGUUCAUUUAUUGGCAUGGUGGCUGUUGUUUCAUCAAUUUCAAAAUGGUUUAUAUUAAUCAGGAUUUGGUGUUUCCAAGUAUUGCAUCGAAUAAGUACACGGAUAUGAUACAUUUCAUUUCGAAGGCAAGUAGCCCAAAUAAGAUAAGAAGAAGAAUAAAAAGAAAAUAUCAUAAUGUGCCUGUGCAAUAUUGCCAGACAGGUUGAACAGAAAUUUCUAUCCCAGCAAAUUUUCAAAAACACUAAAAAUUCUAUAUAACAUUUGGGUUGCAACCAAAAUAGCAAAAUGUAUAACAGUGCACUUGUGCGUUAGAUCAGGCAACAAUGAGCAAAAUGCAUUAUCUUAAUGCAAACAUAAAAAUGUGUCGCCAUCACGCCUAAUACCUAAACUAAUAAUCUUUAGGCCUAUAGCUAGGCAUGCACUUGAUAUUGCGCAACAACGACGUGGCAAUCAAUGUUUUUUUUAUGAGUUUAUAUAUAUAUAUAUAUAUAU